rnacentral:rRNA from 1 species
UACGUAGGGCGCAAGCGUUGUCCGGAAUUAUUGGGCGUAAAGAGCGUGUAGGCGGCCUGACAAGUCUGCUGUGAAAACUCGAGGCUCAACCUCGAGAUGUCGGCGGAAACUGUCUGGCUAGAGUCCGGAAGAGGAGAGUGGAAUUCCUGGUGUAGCGGUGAAAUGCGCAGAUAUCAGGAAGAACACCUAUGGCGAAGGCAGCUCUCUGGGACGGUACUGACGCUGAGACGCGAAAGCGUGGGGAGCGAACAGG